GACAGAGGUCCCGAGCGUUAGGCGGAAUCACUGGGCUUAAAGCGUGUGUAGGCGGACUUCUAAGUACCUUGUGAAAUCCCACGGCUUAACCCGUGGAACUGCUUGGUAUACUGGUUGUCUUGGGCCAUCUAGGGGCUACUGGAACAAACGGUGGAGCGGUGAAAUGCGUAGAUAUCGUUUGGAACGCCAAUGGUGAAAACAAGUAGCUGGGGAUGUGCCGACGGCUGAGACACGAAGCCAGGGAGCGAACG
rnacentral:rRNA from 1 species